rnacentral:rRNA from 1 species
UGAGAGUGGCGAACGGGUGAGUAAUAUAUCGGAACGUGCCCAGUCGUGGGGGAUAACGUAGCGAAAGUUACGCUAAUACCGCAUACGAUCUAAGGAUGAAAGCGGGGGAUCGCAAGACCUCGCGCGAUUGGAGCGGCCGAUAUCAGAUUAGCUAGUUGGUGGGGUAAAAGCCCACCAAGGCGACGAUCUGUAGCUGGUCUGAGAGGACGACCAGCCACACUGGAACUGAGACACGGUCCAGACUCC